AGGACUUUAAUUUAAAAUUUUAAAAUAUUUGAUUUGCACUCAAAAAAUAUACUCCAUUAUAUGUCUUU
rnacentral:tRNA from 1 species